UACGAAGGGGCGAGCGUUGUUCGGAAUUACUGGGCGUAAAGCGCACGUAGGCGGCUUUGCAAGUUAGAGGUGAAAGCCCGGGGCUCAACUCCGGAAUUGCCUUUAAAACUGCAUCGCUAGAAUUGUGGAGAGGUAAGUGGAAUUCCGAGUGUAGAGGUGAAAUUCGUAGAUAUUCGGAGGAACACCAGUGGCGAAGGCGGCUCACUGGUCCAUUACUGACGCUGAGGUGCGAAAGCGUGGGGAGCAAACAGG
rnacentral:rRNA from 1 species